CCUACGGGGGGCAGCAGUCGAGAAUCAUUCACAAUGGGGGAAACCCUGAUGGUGCGACGCCGCGUGGGGGAAUGAAGGUCUUCGGAUUGUAAACCCCUGUCAUGUGGGAGCAAAUUAAAAAGAUAGUACCACAAGAGGAAGAGACGGCUAACUCUGUGCCAGCAGCCGCGGUAAUACAGAGGUCUCAAGCGUUGUUCGGAAUCACUGGGCGUAAAGCGUGCGUAGGCUGUUUCGUAAGUCGUGUGUGAACGGCGCGGGCGCAACCCGCGGACGGCACAUGAUACUGCGAGACUAGAGUAAUGGAGGGGGAACCGGAAUUCUCGGUGUAGCAGUGAAAUGCGUAGAUAGCGAGAGGAACACUCGUGGCGAAGGCGGGUUCCUGGACAUUAACUGACGCUGAGGCACGAAGGCCAGGGGAGCGAAAGGGAUUAGAUACCCCUGUAGUC
rnacentral:rRNA from 1 species